rnacentral:rRNA from 1 species
AUUGAACGCUGGCGGCAGGCCUAACACAUGCAAGUCGAGCGGAUGAAGGGAGCUUGCUCCUGGAUUCAGCGGCGGACGGGUGAGUAAUGCCUAGGAAUCUGCCUGGUAGUGGGGGAUAACGUCCGGAAACGGGCGCUAAUACCGCAUACGUCCUGAGGGAGAAAGUGGGGGAUCUUCGGACCUCACGCUAUCAGAUGAGCCUAGGUCGGAUUAGCUAGUUGGUGGGGUAAAGGCCUACCAAGGCGACGAUCCGUAACUGGUCUGAGAGGAUGAUCAGUCACACGGGAACUGGGACACGGUCCAGACUCCUACGGGAGGCAGCAGUGGGGAAUAUUGGACAAUGGGCGAAAGCCUGAUCCAGCCAUGGCGCGUGUGUGAAGAAGGUCUUCGGAUUGGAAAGCACUUUAAGUUGGGAGGAAGGGCAGUAAGUUAAUACCUUGCUGUUUUGACGUUACCAACAGAAUAAGCACCGGCUAACUUCGUG